rnacentral:rRNA from 1 species
GCUGGGUAGCUACGUCUGGACGAGAUAAACGCUGAAAGCAUCUAAGCGUGAAACUCCCCCUAAGAUAAGAUCUCUCAUCCUUUAAGGAGUAAGGCUCGAUGUAGACUAUGUCGUAGAUAGGUCGGAGGUGGAAGCGCUGUAAGGCGUGCAGCUGACCGAUACUAAUAAGCCGAGGGCUUGACCUAAAA